GCGGCGCACGGGUGAGUAACACGUGGGUAAUCUGCCCUAGAGUCCGGAAUAACUCGCCGAAAGGCGCGCUAAUGCCGGAUGAGACCACGGGAGCCUCGGCUCCUGCGGGAAAAGGUGGCCUCUGUACACAAGCUAUCGCUCUAGGAUGAGCCCGCGGCCCAUCAGCUCGUUGGCGGGGUAAUGGCCCACCAAGGCUACGACGGGUAGCUGGUCUGAGAGGACGAUCAGCCACACUGGAACUGAGACACGGUCCAGACUCCUACGGGAGGCAGCAGUGGGGAAUCUUGCGCAAUGGGCGAAAGCCUGACGCAGCAACGCCGCGUGUGUGAUGAAGGUCUUCGGAUCGUAAAGCACUGUCGCGAGGGACGAAUAAGGGGCGGGUUAACAUCCCGUUCCGAUGACGGUACCUCGAGAGGAAGCACCGGCUAACUCUGUGCCAGCAGCCGCGGUAAUACAGAGGGUGCGAGCGUUGUUCGGAAUUAUUGGGCGUAAAGCGCGUG
rnacentral:rRNA from 1 species